UUUUAUAAGUCCAGUCGGUUAAGACAAUACAGGUUACUGUAGUGGCCGGGGUUCGAAUCCCCGACAUGGCAC